rnacentral:lncRNA from 1 species
CUUGCGGGUAACAAGAUGCCGACUUGUCUCGGGAAUCUGUGAACCACUGAUCUCCACUAGUAAUGGAGGUCAGUGCUGUGAACCGCGUAAUGAAUGAACUGUUGAUUCUGCUGAGAUGGUGGGAAGGCAAUCCAAGCAAAGAGGCUUGACUUCGAGAUUCGCGACAGCAUAGCUUCGUUGUGGUCUUGCGACUUGUCUUGGGAACCCGUGAACCACGUAAUGAACUGUUGAUUAUGCUGAAAGAUGGUGGGAAGGCAAUCCAAUUAAUCUAAUCAGCAGUGGUCUACGGCGCACGUGUGGAGAAAGUGCAGCGCCGCCCACGCCACCUACACACAGCACUUCAAGGUGCGGACGAUGCCACAGUGUGCUGCAACAUAUCUUCAACCUUUUGCCUUCUGCACUGUCCCGGCCCUCGUGG